rnacentral:lncRNA from 1 species
CAUUGCUUUAAAUAGCUGUUGAGCACCAGAUCAAGGUACUGUCAGAGGUGCAAAGAGAAACUAGAGUCCCUGGCUUAACAGAAUUAAUGAAUUCUGUGACAAGGCACAUAACACUUGUCUUGCAACAUAAUUGCCUUUGAUUAGUAGUUAAGUGGUUAAUAACUAGUAUAGAGUUUAAAGGAAGGAGAGAUAUUUUUGGCUAGAAGCAAAACUUCAGAGUAGAGGAGGCGUUAGCACUGGACCUUGAGGGGUAAAUGAGAUUCCAAUAAGCUGAUGUUUUUAAGUUCUCUCAAUAUAUCUUUUUUAUUCUCCCGAAGACUAUCACCCAGGAUAAGUUACAGAGCAUUGUUAUAAGGACAUAGAAUGUUCCCUUUGUUCAAAAGUAUUAAGCCAACUAGAAAGAGUAUUGAUUUUUUUAAUCUUGAAUAUAAGAAAGCUAAAUAUUAUUAAUUAAAUUCGAAUUUUUUUAAGUGUUGAACACUUAGCACUUUCGUAUUUUUUUUCCAGUUUGCCAGUACUGCUAAAUAUAUGAAGAAUACUCCUUAUGUUAAUGAGGUAUCAACUGAUGAAGCUCUCCUGAAAAGGUAUAGAAAAGAAAUAAUGGAUCUUAAAAAACAAUUAGAGGAGGUUUCUUUAGAGACGCGGGCUCAGGCAAUGGAAAAAGACCAAUUGGCCCAACUUUUGGAAGAAAAAGAUUUGCUUCAGAAAGUACAGAAUGAGAAAAUUGAAAACUUAACACGGAUGCUGGUGACCUCUUCUUCCCUCACGUUGCAACAGGAAUUAAAGGUAAAA